rnacentral:rRNA from 1 species
CAGGCUUAACACAUGCAAGUCGAGGGGCAGCAUGGUCUUAGCUUGCUAAGGCCGAUGGCGACCGGCGCACGGGUGAGUAACGCGUAUCCAACCUGCCUUACACUCUUGGACAGCCUUCUGAAAGGGAGAUUAAUACAAGAUGUUAUCAUGAGUAAGCAUUUUCGCAUGAUUAAAGGUUUACCGGUGUAAGAUGGGGAUGCGUUCCAUUAGAUAGUAGGCGGGGUAACGGCCCACCCAGUCUUCGAUGGAUAGGGGUUCUGAGAGGAAGGUCCCCCACAUUGGAACUGAGACACGGUCCAAACUCCUACGGGAGGCAGCAGUGAGGAAUAUUGGUCAAUGGACGAGAGUCUGAACCAGCCAAGUAGCGUGAAGGAUGAAGGUUCUAUGGAUUGUAAACUUCUUUUAUACGGGAAUAAACGGAUCCACGCGUGGGAUUUUUGCAUGUACCGUAUGAAUAAGGAUCGGCUAACUCCGUGCCAGCAGCCGCGGUAAUACGGAGGAUCCGAGCGUUAUCCGGAUUUAUUGGGUUUAAAGGGAGCGUAGAUGGGUUGUUAAGUCAGUUGUGAAAGUUUGCGGCUCAACCGUAAAAUUGCAAUUGAUACUGGCAGUCUUGAGUACAGUUGAGGUAGGCGGAAUUCGUGGUGUAGCGGUGAAAUGCUUAGAUAUCACGAAGAACUCCGAUUGCGAAGGCAGCUUACUAACCUGUAACUGACAUUGAUGCUCGAAAGUGUGGGUAUCAAACGGGGUUAGAUACCCUGGUAGUCCACUCGGUAAACGAUGAAUACUCGCUGUAGGCGAUAUACAGUCUGCGGCCAAGCGAAAGCAUUAAGUAUUCCACCUGGGGAGUACGCCGGCAACGGUGAAACUCAAAGGAAUUGACGGGGGCCCGCACAAGCGGAGGAACAUGUGGUUUAAUUCGAUGAUACGCGAGGAACCUUACCCGGGCUUAAAUCGCAACCGAAUAUGGCGGAAACGCUAUAGCUAGCAAUAGCGGUUGUGAAGGUGCUGCAUGGUUGUCGUCAGCUCGUGCCGUGAGGUGUCGGCUUAAGUGCCAUAACGAGCGCAACCCUUGCCGAUAGUUACUAACAGGUUAUGCUGAGGACUCUGUCGGGACUGCCAUCGUAAGAUGUGAGGAAGGUGGGGAUGACGUCAAAUCAGCACGGCCCUUACGUCCGGGGCUACACACGUGUUACAAUGGGGGGUACAGAGGGCUGCUACCACGCAAGAGGAUGCCAAUCCCAAAAACCUCUCUCAGUUCGGAUUGAAGUCUGCAACCCGACUUCAUGAAGCUGGAUUCGCUAGUAAUCGCGCAUCAGCCACGGCGCGGUGAAUACGUUCCCGGGCCUUGCACU